rnacentral:lncRNA from 1 species
AUAUCAUGUUACAAACCCCAGGUGCUUUUUGAAUAAUCACUUUCUCAUGUACAGGGCUCACUGAUCACCCAGACCUUCGUACCUGUGGAGACCUGGAAGGUGGAGAGGGAGGAGACAGUAGCUAAAGGAUUAGGGUCACUAGCCAACUAUUCAUUCUUCUUCAAAGAGGAAAAUCAAAGAGAAACGGAAAGAAAUGGCUGAUUCUUCAGUCAACAUGUCCAAGCGUCUGUUGACAUUCCGAGAUGUGGCUGUGGACUUCUCCCAGGAGGAGUGGGAAUGCCUGGACUCUGCUCAGAGGACUUUGUAUAUUGAAGUGAUGGUCGAGAAUUAUACCAACCUGGUGUCUGUGGAGAAUUAUUCUAUACGUGGUACUGUCCAUCGACCUCUGAGGACUGAAAAGGUGUCUUGUCAGUCUAAUAAGCGUGGUGAAAUAUUUCAUGGUUCCUCCAACUGUGUACUUUAUAAAAGAAGUGACACUACAGAAACCUCUAAUAACUACAGAUGCUGUAAGGACAGGGAUGCCUCUGUUGACUCAUC